rnacentral:rRNA from 1 species
UACAGAGGUCUCAACCGUUGUUCGGAUUCAUUGGGCGUAAAGGGUGCGUAGGCGGUCGGGUAAGUCUGACGUGAAAUCUUCAAGCUCAACUUGGAAACUGCGUCCGAUACUAUUCGGCUAGAGGAAUGGAGGGGAGACUGGAAUACUUGGUGUAGCAGUGAAAUGCGUAGAUAUCAAGUGGAACACCAGUGGCGAAGGCGAGUCUCUGGACAUUUCCUGACGCUGAGGCACGAAAGCCAGGGGAGCAAACGGG